rnacentral:tRNA from 1 species
GCCUGGGUAGCUCAGUGGUAGAGCAGCGCACUCGUAAUGCGCAGGCCGUGGGUUCGAUCCCCACCCCAGGCU